GGAGAGAUUGUAGGAGUAAGUUGUGGAGUGGAUUAUGAAGAGAUAAGGGGAGAAAAUCAAGGAAGUGGGAGAGUGUGGGAGUGUGGUGCUGUUUGGGGAAGGUUUUGCUUGUGUAUUUUCAGCUAGGGGGACUUUUGGUGGUAUUUUUCGCUAUUUUGGUGAGUUUGGAUGACCAAUUUUUCUCUAUGUCUUUUGGAGUUUUUUUUCUCUUAUUGAGUGUUCUUCUUUUUCUUUUGCAUCGACUUCGAAACUGACCAUUCAUGCAUUUUCGGUUAUUUC
rnacentral:lncRNA from 1 species